GUGCCAGCAGCCGCGGUAAUACAGAGGGGGCAAGCGUUGUUCGGAAUUACUGGGCGUAAAGGGCGCGUAGGCGGCCUACUAAGUCAGACGUGAAAUCCCACGGCUCAACCGUGGAACUGCGUCUGAGACUGGAAGGCUUGAAUUCGGGAGAGGGAUGCGGAAUUCCAGGUGUAGCGGUGAAAUGCGUAGAUAUCUGGAGGAACACCGGUGGCGAAGGCGGCAUCCUGGACCGACAUUGACGCUGAGGCGCGAAAGCCAGGGGAGCAAACGGGAUUAGAUACCCUUGUAGUCC
rnacentral:rRNA from 1 species